rnacentral:rRNA from 1 species
AUUGAACGCUGGCGGCAUGCUCUACACAUGCAAGUCGAACGGUAACAGGCCGCAAGGUGCUGACGAGUGGCGAACGGGUGAGUAAUGCAUCGGAACGUGCCCAGUCGUGGGGGAUAACUACUCGAAAGAGUAGCUAAUACCGCAUACGAUCUAUGGAUGAAAGCGGGGGACCGUAAGGCCUCGCGCGAUUGGAGCGGCCGAUGUCAGAUUAGGUAGUUGGUGGGGUAAAGGCUCACCAAGCCAACGAUCUGUAGCUGGUCUGAGAGGACGACCAGCCACACUGGGACUGAGACACGGCCCAGACUCCUACGGGAGGCAGCAGUGGGGAAUUUUGGACAAUGGGCGCAAGCCUGAUCCAGCAAUCCCGCGUGCAGGAAGAAGGCCUUCGGGUUGUAAACUGCUUUUGUACGGAACGAAACGGCUCUGGUUAAUACCCGGGGCUAAUGACGGUACCGUAAGAAUAAGCACCGGCUAACUACGUG